rnacentral:rRNA from 1 species
AUCAACUUUCGAUGGUAGGAUAGAGGCCUACCAUGGUGGUAACGGGUAACGGGGUGUUAGGGCACGACACCGGAGAGGGAGCCUGAGAAACGGCUACCACAUCCAAGGAUGGCAGCAGGCGCGCAAAUUACCCAAUCCCGACACGGGGAGGUAGUGACAAUAAAUAACAAUACAGGGUUCUUUCGGAUCUUGUAAUUGGAAUGAGUACAAUUUAAAUCUCUUAACGAGGAACAAUUGGAGGGCAAGUCUGGUGCCAGCAGCCGCGGUAAUUCCAGCUCCAAUAGCGUAUAUUAAAGUUGCUGCAGUUAAAAAGCUCGUAGUUGAAUUUCGGGACCAAUAUGUCGGUCGUGCUUUUGUACGUACUGAUAUAAUUGGUUUCUCCCUUCUGAAGAACCUUGAUGUCAUUAAUUUGGUGUCUUGGGGAAUCAGGACUGUUACUUUGAAAAAAUUAGAGUGUUUAAAGCAGGCUCGCGCUUGAAUACAUUAGCAUGGAAUAAUGAAAUAGGACGUUUGAUUCUAUUUUGUUGGUUUCUAGGAUCGACGUAAUGAUUAAUAGGGAUAGUUGGGGGCAUUAGUAUUCAAUUGUCAGAGGUGAAAUUCUUGGAUUUAUUGAAGACUAACUACUGCGAAAGCAUUUGCCAAGGAUGUUUUCAUUAAUCAAGAACGAAAGUUAGGGGAUCGAAGACGAUCAGAUACCGUCGUAGUCUUAACCAUAAACUAUGCCGACUAGGGAUCGGAUGAUGUUAAUUUUUUAAUGACUCAUUCGGCGCCUUACGGGAAACCAAAGUGUUUGGGUUC